rnacentral:misc_RNA from 1 species
UUUUGAUGUGUAAAGUAAUCUAAUUACUUAUAUAAGCCGAAUUAAAAUGAAUUAAAUUGCAAUUUGACCAAUAGUCUUUCCAAAUUUAACAUGUUAUCAGAGCAUCUGGUUUGGGUUGUGAGUUUCAAUCGCCCGUGAGACAGUAUAAUUGGACCCAUAUUGGGUUAAAAAUAUAAACUAAUUAUUAAGUGAGAACCAUGUGGUUGCACUUGAGGGGGGAGUGUUGGGAUUAUAAAUCCCACAUCGGAAAAGUAUAAACAUAAAAGGGUAAAUAUAAGUGGUUAGAUUGCAACAUUGACUUGGUUAGUUAUUUUGAUGUGUAAAGCAAUAUAAUUACUUAUAUAAGCCUGAAUUAAAAUGAAUUAAAUUGUAA